GGAAAAUGGAGGGGGAAAAUGGGGGAAUGGCUGGAGUACAUCAGCGGGGAGAUGAAGCGCUACGAGCAGCAGAUGCAGGAGCUGGAGCGGCGCUCGGAGCAGCAGCGGGAGCUGCUGGGGCGGCUCCAGCAGGAGCUCCAGGCCAAGCCCUGAGCACCCCCAAAUUUUGGGGACCCCCC